UACGUAGGUGGCAAGCGUUGUCCGGAUUUACUGGGCGUAAAGGGUGCGUAGGUGGAUAUUUAAGUCAGAUGUGAAAUACCCGAGCUCAACUUGGGUGCUGCAUUUGAAACUGGAUAUCUAGAGUGCAGGAGAGGAAAGUGGAAUUCCUAGUGUAGCGGUGAAAUGCGUAGAGAUUAGGAAGAACACCAGCGGCGAAGGCGACUUUCUGGACUGUAACUGACACUGAGGCACGAAAGCGUGGGUAGCAAACAGG
rnacentral:rRNA from 1 species